rnacentral:rRNA from 1 species
GUAGGGUGCGAGCGUUAAUCGGAAUUACUGGGCGUAAAGUGUGCGCAGGUGGCCGCGCAAGUCGAGUGUGAAAGCCCCGGGCUUAACUUGGGAAUUGCGCUCGAAACUACGUGGCUAGAGUGUGGCAGAGGAAGGUGGAAUUCCACGUGUAGCGGUGAAAUGCGUAGAGAUGUGGAGGAACACCGAUGGCGAAGGCAGCCUUCUGGGCCAACACUGACGCUCAUGCACGAAAGCGUGGGGAGCAAACAGGAUUAGAUACCCUGGUAGUCCACGCCCUAAACGAUGAUGACUAGUUGUUGGGGGAGUUAAAUCCCUUAGUAACGCAGCUAACGCGUGAAGUCAUCCGCCUGGGGAGUACGGUCGCAAGAUUAAA